rnacentral:rRNA from 1 species
GUAAGUCGAACGGCAGCGCGGGGCAACCUGGCGGCGAGUGGCGAACGGGUGAGUAAUAUAUCGGAACGUGCCCUGGAGUGGGGGAUAACGCAGCGAAAGUUGCGCUAAUACCGCAUACGAUCUAAGGAUGAAAGCGGGGGAUUCGCAAGAACCUCGUGCUCCUGGAGCGGCCGAUAUCUGAUUAGCUAGUUGGUGGGGUAAAGGCUUACCAAGGCAUCGAUCAGUAGCUGGUCUGAGAGGACGACCAGCCACACUGGAACUGAGACACGGUCCAGACUCCUACGGGAGGCAGCAGUGGGGAAUUUUGGACAAUGGGCGAAAGCCUGAUCCAGCAAUGCCGCGUGAGUGAAGAAGGCCUUCGGGUUGUAAAGCUCUUUUGUCAGGGAAGAAACGGUGUGGGCUAAUAUCCUGCACUAAUGACGGUACCUGAAGAAUAAGCACCGGCUAACUACGUGCCAGCAGCCGCGGUAAUACGUAGGGUGCAAGCGUUAAUCGGAAUUACUGGGCGUAAAGCGUGCGCAGGCGGUUUUGUAAGUCUGUCGUGAAAUCCCCGGGCUCAACCUGGGAAUUGCGAUGGAGACUGCAAGGCUAGAAUCUGGCAGAGGGGGGUAGAAUUCCACGUGUAGCAGUGAAAUGCGUAGAGAUGUGGAGGAACACCGAUGGCGAAGGCAGCCCCCUGGGUCAAGAUUGACGCUCAUGCACGAAAGCG